ACGAGCUGCUACGGCAGCGAAGUGGGUGAUGUCAAGCUUCCAAGAAAAGCCCUAUACCCGUUAAGGCAUGAUGGCCUGUACCCGAAACCGACACAGGUGGGGUGGUAGAGAAUACCGAGGGGCGCGAGAUAACUCUCUCUAAGGAGCUCGGCAAAAUGGCCCCGUAACUUCGGGAGAAGGGGUGCCACCGCAAGGUGGUCGCAGUGAAGAGGCCCAGGCGACUGUUUACCAAAAACACAGGUCUCCGCUAAGUCGCAAGACGAUGUAUGGGGGCUGACGCCUGCCCAGUGCCGGGAGGUUAAGGAAGCUGGUCAGCGUAAGCGAAGCUAGCGACUGAAGCCCCGGUGAACGGCGGCCGUAACUAUAACGGUCCUAAGGUAGCGAAAUUCCUUGUCGGGUAAGUUCCGACCCGCACGAAAGGCGUAACGAUCUGGGCGCUGUCUCGGAGAGAGGCUCGGCGAAAUAGAAUUGUCUGUGAAGAUGCGGACUACGUGCACCCGGACAGAAAGACCCUAUGAAGCUUUACUGUAGCUUGGUAUUGUGCUCGGGCUCGGAAUGCGCAGGAUAGGUGGGAGGCUAUGAACCAUUGCUUGUGGGUGAUGGUGAGCCACUGGUGAGAUACCACUCUUUCCGAGCUAGAGUUCUAACAGCCACCCGUUAUCCGGGGGCUGGACAGUAUCAGGUGGGCAGUUUGACUGGGGCGGUCGCCCCCUAAAAGGUAACGGAGGCGCGCAAAGGUUUGCUCAGGCUGGUUGGAAAUCAGCCGACGAGUGUAAAAGCAGAAGCAAGCUUGACUGUGAGACCUACAAGUCGAACAGGGAGGAAACUCGGCUUUAGUGAUCCGACGGUUCUGCGUGGAAGGGCCGUCGCUCAACGGAUAAAAGUUACUCUAAGGAUAACAGGCUGAUCUCCCCCAAGAGUUCACAUCGACGGGGAGGUUUGGCACCUCGAUGUCGGCUCAUCGCAACCUGGGGCUGAAGUCGGUCCCAAGGGUUGGGCUGUUCGCCCAUUAAAGCGGUACGCGAGCUGGGUUCAGAACGUCGUGAGACAGUUCGGUCCAUAUCCGGUGCAUGCGCAGGAAUAUUGAGAGGAUUUCUCCCUAGUACGAGAGGACCGGGAGGAACGCACCUCUGGUGUACCAGUUAUCGUGCCAACGGUAAACGCUGGGUAGCCAUGUGCGGAGAGGAUAACCGCUGAAAGCAUCUAAGUGGGAAGCCCACCUCAAGAUGAGUAUUCCCAUGGGGUAACCCAGUAAGGUCACGGGAAGAACACCCGUUGAUAGGCUCUACGUGGAAGCGCAGUAAUGUGUGAAGCGGAGGAGUACUAAUAGGCCGAGGGCUUGACC
rnacentral:rRNA from 1 species